UCUGACACUUUUUAUUAAUGAAUGUUUGUUGAUUUAAAUCAGGCUUCGAAAGAAAUUAUUUGGUGGAUAUGCAGGUAUAAGCCCUACUGAACAAAACAUUAAAGACAAUGUAUAUUAUUUGACAUCAGCCGCUUUCUUCGCUGACGUUUUACUAACAACGUCACCAUUAGGGUCAGCAUACUAGCGAGUCGUUCGAUAGGCAUGACGAUUUUGAUGUUUCAAUCGUGCAAUUUCCCUUUGAUAGUAACAUCCCUGCUCACCUGGCAUACGAAACUAAUUUGUCGCAGUGUAUUCCGUAUUAAAGAGCGUGCUCCAAAUAUCAGGAUUUGAUUAGAUGAAGACCCCCGACAAAGAAGCUUACAGUACGGGUUUAUUAGAUGAAGACCCCCGACAAACAAGCUUACAGUACGGGUUUAUUAGAUGAAAACCCCCCGACAAAGAAGCUUACAGUACGGGUUUAUUAGAUGAAGACCCCCCGACAAAGAAGCUUACAGUACGGGUUUAUAAGAUGAAGACCCCCGAUAAACAAGCUUACAGUACUGGGUUUCCAGAGAUGAAGGUUGAUGAAGAAUGUCGACAUCUUCUAUCGGCGCCAUCACGAUCUCAGGCGGAAAAAGGAUGUUCGUGUAUACGACAUGUCGAUUUCUGUCCUUAUAUUCAUAGAUCGAGUUGUUUGUUAGUGGCACUUCACUAUCUGGACGCGACAUAACUUGGAAGUAGAUUUACAUGGAAUUGUCGUCGAUAAACAAGAACACACUUAUCCUUCAGUAACAUUUGGUCGGAUUCUCUUUUUGUUUAUUUUUAAGGUUCCGUGAAAAUAUUUCAUCUGUUCAUAUUUCGCAUUAGUUUUUAUCGAUUUGGAAACCAAUUACUGCACAAUUGACACUAGGCAAGUUUUUUCGAAAGAAAAAAAUAUAAAAUUCCUAUCAGUGUGCUUCAAAGAUCUGUAACAAAUUAAUAUCUAAUUGCUAAAAUAUUCAGCCUUUUUCUCAUGAAUUAGAGAACUUAAUUGAAGUAUAACAAACGUAAAACGAAACGUGUUGUAGGGGUAGGUAAAGAUGGAAAUUGAUACCGUCUAAUAAUCCCUAAAGCGUGCUUUAAGUAUCAUAAGUUCAAUAACUGACAUUAUCUUUGAAACUGCAGUAUUUUUAAAUCAAGGUACAUACUCGUCUUUGUUCUCAGUUCUGUUACAUCAAGAACUGAAAGACCAGUGAUGUGACAUUAUCUUAAAUAACUCAAAACUGUUACAUCAAAGACGAACCUCAGCUGAAAUAACUCAGUACAAUUACAUCGAGGCCUAAAGUAUAUUCAAUAACUAAGUAUUGCUACGUUAGUGACUGGCAUUAUCUUAAAUUACAUUACUUAAAACUGUCAGCAAAAAGACUGGCGUUAUCUUCAAAACAACAGAACUGUUAAAUCAAGGACUGACAUAAUCUUAAAUAACUCAAUGCUGUUACUUCAAUAACUAAUAUUAUCUUAAAUAACAAAUCGCAUUUACGUCAAUAACUAAUCAAGAAUCAUCAAUAUUGUCAUUUCUGUUAGGGCAUUUUUUUGCUUUUCAAUAUUUUAACAGUUUUUUUGUAUAAAGAUACCUUCAGUAGUUAUAAUUUACUUACAUACCCUCAGUACGCCGUUUUAAAUCGUAUGCAUACACAAAAUACGUUAUUACAAAAAAACACUCUAUAUCACAUAUACAUAUAAUUAACAGAUAUAAACGUUAAUAAUAUAUACAUAUAAUACUUAGUUAUAAAAUCAGUUAUUAAAUCUUCAUGGAACAUAAUACAAUAAACAGGUAUACGAUCAAUGCCUGUCUUUUUUCUGUGUACCAAUUGUUAAGAUGAACAAAAUAUUUAAAAGAAUAAAUAUUAAUAACAUCUACGACCUUUGAAGAUCAGGCGACACACUUGACACUUAGGCUAAAACGCAAUCGCAGUACACUAUUCUUCUAUUGUGAGGUGUUUUAUAGCAUUCCUUAUCCACCAAAACAUAUAUAUUUAAAAUAUUAAGUUCUUAUUUUAAAGACUCACAUCGUUGAUGUUUUGUUGGUCGUCAAAUUUUAUUUGAUCAAUAUAUAUAUAUAUAAUCCCUUAACACACGUGAUAAUUUCUGAUAAAUGUGAGCAUUUAACGCUUGAUUUGAUACCAUAACGUAUGUUGAUCAAGAGAAUGUCUGUGAAAGUUUUACCCUGUUCGAGUCUGACGACUUUGUAUCGAGUUUUGAUUGUUCCCGGGGGUCCCGUCCCCCCAACCGACACGGCCAGCUCCACCUUGAUUGUUUCCGGGGGUCCACCCCACACGGCCAGCUCCAGCUUGAGUGUUCCCGACCCCUUGGUUCAUGCUAUUUGGAUUAUUAGCUCGGGCAGCGUUCUGUGUCAUCAUUCGCCUUUGGUGUUCCUGCAUCAUCCUUAUAUGCUGUUGUUGGCGUAGCUUCGCUUGUUCCACAAGAGCAGGCCGAUUUCGAAGGAAUUCCUGAUGGCCGGUUUUAUUAAAAAACAUUCUGAAUUCCUUGUCAAAAUAAAGAGGCAAACUGUCUUGUAAGGAAAAUGAAAAUUUACCAGAUGGAUCGUCUU